CUAUCAAUAUAUUCAUUAACAUCAUCAUGUUCAUCAUCUUCAGAUCAUACAACAAGUUCUUUCGUUGAUUUGGAUCUCGUGCACAAGAACUUUUGGGAUGCGGAGAUUGGUGUCGGCUCCUAACGCAAAUAUCCCUCUAUGUUGGUUAGGACUACUCUUUAUUUUGCUUUCGGAGAUAGUUUUGUACUUGCUCUAUUUGAAAAGCCUUGUACUUGUAGGCUAACUUACUGGUGGGAUGUGGUAGGUAUAAUCAUAACCUAAUAAAUCGGAUCGUGAGAAGUAUUUUGACUUCCUCAAUUAUCAAAAUUCUUCUUGUUACAUUAUCUUCAAUUUAUUCUCUACAGAUUGUGAGCACUCAA